AAGGCGGAUAGAGUGAGCGAUGAAUUUCGUUCAAGUUAUGUAGUAUUGAUCAAUACAGGGUACAACGGGGCUGAUCACCCUCCGUGCCCGUAAGUUAUGACGGUUUGAGGAUAGAAUUCUGCUAAACCUUUUCGAAAAUGAAAAAGAAUGUUCAUAGUAUGUUUCUUAAACCCUAUUCAAGGGUAGAGCCACAUUUCAAGAAAUUGAAAGAGAGUUGUUAUGUGAAUCUUUUAUCAGUACAGAUUACUUCACAACUUUUGAUUCGUUGUAGAAGUGUUAUGUAAAGAGAAUACUUAUAUUCUUUCAGCUUAUAUAUAUAAUUGCUAUUACUUGCUGGGCACUCAAAUGCUCAUCCUUGCUUAAAUUAAAUGUUUUCAGUUAUGUAUGAGCAACCUGAAGGCUCAGGCACGAACAAAGGAAAAGGAAAGCUGAUCGAAUAAGUGUGUAUUAUGAGUUAAUGGUUAUAGUUGUAUUGGUAUCUAUUCAAGUAUUGUAAGGAAUGUAUUUGAAGGUCACGUACCUGGG
rnacentral:lncRNA from 1 species